GGGCUUGUAGCUCAGUUGGUUAGAGCGCACGCUUGAUAAGCGUGAGGUCGGAGGUUCAAGUCCUCCCAGGCCCACCA
rnacentral:tRNA from 1 species